rnacentral:rRNA from 1 species
GUGGGGAAUAUUGGGCAAUGGGCGAAAGCCUGACCCAGCAACGCCGCGUGAAGGAAGAAGGUCUUCGGAUCGUAAACUUCUAUCCUUGGUGAAGAUAAUGACGGCAGCCGAGAAGGAAGCCCCGGCUAACUACGUGCCAGCAGCCGCGGUAAUACGUAGGGGGCAAGCGUUGUCCGGAAUGAUUGGGCGUAAAGGGCGCGUAGGCGGCCUGGUAAGUCUGGAGUGAAAGUCCUGUGUUUAAGGUGGGAAUUGCUUUGGAUACUGUCGGGCUUGAGUGCAGGAGAGGUAAGUGGAAUUCCCGGUGUAGCGGUGAAAUGCGUAGAGAUCGGGAGGAACACCAGUGGCGAAGGCGACUUACUGGACUGUAACUGACGCUGAGGCGCGAAAGUGUGGGGAGCAAACAGGAUUAGAAACCCUGGUAGUCC